rnacentral:lncRNA from 1 species
UUCUCAUCUCUAAAUUUGUUUGAUCUCGAAGCCCUAAUUCUUUCGGACCUAUUUGGGUUUCUGAAAAAUUGUUUCGUCUACUUGAAGUUGCUCGAUUGGAUUCAAGGUCCUUCUUGUUUUAACUUUUGUUCCUUAUGUGAUUUGGUUUCUUAUAUUUGAACUAAGCUAUGCUCUCGAGAAGGUUCAUUUUCUUGACUCUUUUAGCAUGCUUCUGAUUCCCCCUUCUCCCUAUUACUGAAUCACAACCUAUAUGACUAUCAUGUUUCAUUAUCUACUAGAUGCAUAGUUAUUGUUACUAACCUCGCAUGCCUAAUGUUUGUGCACUCUUUAUACAUGGUGAAUGUCCCUCUAAAAUAACCUUAGAUUUUGGACUGAUUUAAGACCUCUUUGUGUAAGUUUGAUUGAUUCUUUCCUUGUUUUCCCUGUUUGAUUUGAAAAACUUUCUUUAGCCUUUCGAUUCCCCUAUUUUUGACCUGGUUCAUUGGUAAUUUUGAAUCCCUGAUUUCUUGAUUUACUAUGUACUAAUUGAUUUACUGUGUUCUUACCUUAUCUGGGCUAACCAUGUAUAUUAAAGAUUCUUAGUUAGACCCCUAUGUAUUUACCCCUAAUUUCCUACUUUACACAAGAUAUUCACUUGAUUUCUUUCCUUAACUGUUUGUUGUGUAUUACGGUUUGAGUUUAAACUCCUUAAUUAAAAGAAGUGCCUAUGUUGAUUGGUUGUAAUUGAUACAUAGUUCCAUAAUUACCAUGAUUCUUCCCUUACUUCUGUCUAUUUUCAAACUAUAAAUACUCGACCCUCAUUUCACAAACACAGGACGGAAUACACUUCACACUUCAUACUUACAAUUUUCACAUUCUCUUUUAAGUAUUCUUUAUCGGCACUUUGGCUUUCAAAAGACUACUGCUUCCUCUUUGUUUAACUAUUUAAACUGGUAUGUCUUAAUUCAAUUCCCAGCAUAAUCCUAAUGUGUUUACAUAUAGUCUUUAUAUCUAAGUCUGUUAUCUGCAGAGUUUGACAUGUUCAUGUGCUACUGUUUGCUUUACUUUCCUGCAAAUGCAAUGAAUCCCUGCUCCCUACCCCUCUAUGUGUUUGAGCUAUGGUUUAAAACAUGUUAAUAUACAAGUUAUUUUCCAUGGAUUAAAACCACAUCUUUUGGAUCCUAGCCUCUAAAUAAUGUAACAGACUCGUGGGCAUAUUAGCAUUCCCUAUUGCCGGGUAUCCCCACAUUAUGCUCUUGUCUCUUUCAGCUCCCCCAUACUCCCAUUCCCCUAUGUGUGCUGAGUUAAGAUAUAACCUACCAGCACCUAAAUUGUUGUCUAUGGCUGAACCUGACCUUCAACAGGUCUUAACUCCUCAAUUUAAACUGACAAGAUGGUCAGGGGUGUGCCAGCACCCCAAAUUGCUAGGCAUGACCACCAGCUUGCCUUUUCCCAUUUUACUGCACUUUCACUUACUCUUAGACCCUAAGUUCUGCCCCCCUCCUAUGAGCCCUGCCUUGGGAACCUUGAGUUUUCCUCUGAACUUGGACAUUUGAGGGCUGACCCUUCCACACUGCACCAUAAUCUAAUUCUGCAAUAUAUUUGGGUGUAAGCAUUUUCCGGAAUCCGUUUGAGAUUCUUAGGGAACUCUGACACAUCCCAAAUAAGAGAAAGGCUUUGGAAAUUUGAUCUUGGGAGUUGGUUUACUUCAUGCUGCAGAUAGAAGUCUGAGUCAGGCUCUCAUUCGCAGGGACUAUUUAGUUUUGAUGUAUUUUACUUUUCUUUAUUCAUUCAGGUCUGUAAUAAUCUGUAAUAGUCUAUAAUAAUCUGUAAUAGUCUGUAAUAAUUUGUAAUAACUAUGGGGUUAUUGUAAAAAGGGAAGGGUGACUCAUGUAUGCAUAUGGGUAGAUAUCCUGCUUUAGAUAUUUACUUUUUGCAAUCACAACCUGCUCCUCGCUUUUUAGUGUCCCUAACCCAAAUCCCAAAAACCUUUCUUAGUGUCCCAAAACCAGUACCAAACUGGGACAGAAAGAAUUUCUCUUAUUUUGUUUGUUUUGUUGUGAUCAGGUACACAGAUAGCAGUCUAAGGGAAUAUUCUUCAAGAUGUAUGUUUUGGUAAUCGGGCGCCCACAUGGAGAACAAGGGAAUAUUUUUCAAGUUUCAAGUUUUGAUAAUCAGGCGCCCACCUGGAGAACAAGGGAAUACAUUUCAAAGUUCAAGUUUUUGUAAUCAGGCGCCCGCCUGUAGAACAAGGGAAUAUAUUUCAUAUUUCAAGCUUUGGUAAUCAGGCGUCCACCUGGAGAACAAGGGAAUAUAUUUCAAAUAUCAAGUUUUGGUAAUUAGCCGCCACCUAGAGAACAAGGGAAUACUUUUCAAGUUGCAAGCUUUGGUAAUCAGGCGCCUACCUGCAGAACAAGGGAAUACACUUCAAGUUUCAAGUUUUAGGUAAUCAGGCGCCCACCUGGAGAGCAAGGGAAGUAUUUUUAGAGUUGCAAAUUUUGGGUAAUCAGGCUCCCACCUGGAGAACAAGGUAAUACUUUUCAAAUUUCAAGUUUUGGCAAUCAGGUACCCACCUGGAGAACAAGGGAAUAUUUUUCGAGCUGCAAAUUUUCGGUAAUCAGGCGCCCACCUAGAGAACAAGGGAAUAUUUUUCAAGUUACAAGUUUUGGUAAUCAGGCGCCCACCUGGAGAACAAGGGAAUAUCGUUCAAAUUUCAAGUUUCGGUAAUCAGGCUCCCACCCGUAGAACAAGGGAAUACAUUUCAAAUUUCAAGUCUUGGUAAUCAGGCGCCCACCUGGAGAACAAGGGAAUAUAUUUAAAAUUCACGUCCUUGCAAUUAGGCGCCCGUCUGGAGAACAAGGGAAAACAAUUCAAAUUUCAAGUUUUGGUAAUCUGGCGCUCACCUGUAGAACAAGGGAAUACACUUCAAGUUUCAAGUUUUGGGUAAUCAGGCGCCCGCUUGUAGUACAAGGGAAUACAUUUGACAUUUCAUGUCUUGGUAAUCAGGCGCCCACCUGCAGAACAAGAGAAUACUUUUCAAAUUUCUAGUUUUGGUAAUCAGGCGUCCACCAUUAGAACAAGGGAAUACAUUCCAAAUUUCAAGUCUUGGUAAUCAGGCGCCCACUUGGAGAACAAGGGAAUGCUUUUCAAAUUUCAAGUUUUGGUAAUCAGGCGCCCACCGGGAGAAUAAGGGAAUACAUUUCAAAUUUCAAGUUUUGGGUAAUCAGGCGCCCACCUGGAGAAAAAGGGAAUACAUUUCAAAUUUCAAGUUUUAGGUAAUCAGGCGCCCACCUGGAGAACAAGGGAAUACAUUUCAAGUUGCAAGUUUUGGUAAUCAGGCGCCCACUUGUAGAACAAGUGAAUACAUUUCAGAUUUCAUGUCUUGGUAAUGAGGCGCCCACCUGGAGAACAAGGGAAUGCUUUUCAAAUAUCAAGUUUUGGUAAUCAAGGGCCCACCUGCAAAAUAAGGGAAUAGAUUUCAAGUCCAACAAUUCGGCAUCAAACAUGGAAGAAGAGAAAACAAGAAGUUACAGGAAGACAUACGAGUCAACAAGGCAACAACAGGGAGAUAUACAAGCAACAAAGAACCAAGGAUCAAGAGAAAGUCUGAGAACAUCGAUAGGUUCUUUUGUAAUCCAUAGUUCAUAGCUUAGUCUAGCUUCUUUUUAUUUUUACAAGGUGUAAUAAGGGGGUCUAGCAGCGGUAGCAGUAACAGUGAGAUCACAGCUUUGGUAGUCCCAGCUACCAAAUACUCCUGAACUACGCUGAUCUGAUUCCUCUCUAGUCGAGAAUAUGUAUCUGAAUCAGGGUGCGGUCAAGCUUUUCAAAAUGCUUCUAUGGAGUAUUCAAGCGGGCCAAAAUUGCUCUCGCCUGCUCACUUGUCUUUGCACGAAAACUCUUCGUGUUUUCAGGCAAAGAGGGGUAGCUAUGAGCACGGG